UCCGGUUUAUCACCGGCAGUCCCGCUAGAGUUCUCAACUUAAUGUAGCAACUAACGGUAAGGGUUGCGCUCGUUGCGUCACUUAAGACAACAUCUCACGACACGAGCUGACGACAGCCAUGCAGCACCUGUGUUCUGGUUCCUUGCGGCACUUCUACAUCUCUGUAGAAUUCCAGACAUGUCAAGAGCAGGUAAGGUUUUUCGCGUUGCAUCGAAUUAAUCCACAUCAUCCACCGCUUGUGCGGGUCCCCGUCAAUUCCUUUGAGUUUUAAUCUUGCGACCGUACUCCCCAGGCGGUCUACUUCACGCGUUAGCUUCGCUACUAAGGUUACCCCCAACAGCAAGUAGACAUCGUUUAGGGCGUGGACUAC
rnacentral:misc_RNA from 1 species